UGUUUUUAAUAACUACAAACUAAUAAGAGCGAAUCCAAUAUGUAUUAUUCACAAAUUUGUCCAAAAUGACGUUGUUUUGAAACUUAUGUGAAACGACGUCGCUUCGAUCAUUUCGUGUAGAAAACAUUGUCGUUUUCAGAAUGUAUAAAUGUCACGAAAGUGAAAACCCUAGGUCAUUUUUCAUUUUCUCUAACCCUGGCGUUGUUGCUCUUCUCGCUUCUCUUCUUUGACGAAUUUUCUUCUCCUCUUGGAUCUUCCUUAAACCAUCUGAGAUUGUAGGUACGUUUGUCGAUGCAAUACGCUGUCUUCUUCGAGUGUGUGCUUCUCCCUUCUUCGAGUUUGAUAUUGAUUUUUUUGCCUCAUGUUCAAGCAUUAAUUUCUUUCGAAAGAACGAAGUACGGUUUCAAAGGGUGCUUGUGUACUUUUGAGACUAUAAACCACGACUGUAAUUUCUUCUUCCAGUUUUUGUUUAGCUUUUUCUUAUUUUUCUUCUCAGUUGAUUCUUUCAAAUAAAUUGUGUCUUCUAUAGAAUGAUGGGUUGUAUAUUCUAGAUUUUUUAUUCAUUCCACUAUAUCUAGACCAAUCUUCGUCUCGUGCAUUGCACGAGUAUUGUAUUUAUUAUGUUAUUAUUAAUGUGAAAUAUAUAGAAUUUAAAAAAAGUUUUUGAAAUUUUUGAAAAUGAGAAAUCCUUGUGUCACAAAGUAAAUGAUUUAACAAAUUAGAGAAAAAAAAAAAAGAAUUACAGACAAAAAUAGAAAAAAAUUACAUAACAAAAAUAAAAAAAAAAACAAAAAAGAGUUAUUAUAAAGCUUAAAAAAAAAGAAAUAAAUAAAAUUAUUAUAAAGUUUUUAAAUUAAAUUGAAAU
rnacentral:lncRNA from 1 species